AGUUAGAAUAUCUGAUAAAUGCUGUUGGUCAAUCCAGAUGUAGGUUGGAGAUAUUACACUACAGAUGGUUGGACACAAAGAUCAUUGUUCAUGGCAUUUCCUAGAGUGGGUCUAUUGAGUGGGUCUGCUACUUCUGCUGAUGGCAAUGCCGGAGGUGGAGCGAUAGUAGAGGGUUGGGCCAAGAGAGGAUCUGAAGCAACUUCAUUGAUGGAGGACUGGAGUCUGUGGUUGAACAGGGACAACAUAUAUACCAUGAACAAACGCAGCCAUAGAGAAUUUUUUUUUUUUUUUUUAGUAAGGUUUAGGGUGUGCACAUGAAGGUAUCUACCGUUUGAUAUUGUUCUUACUUUGUUGAUGUAAUUUGGGAUGUCCUCCCUUACAAAGACUAUUUUCUUUGGUCUUAAUGAAAUGUAUAAAUGUAAAUAAUUAAGUUAUCCAUGUAACAAUGGAAGAUGAUGUUUCUAUUUUUAAAAAUCA